CUCCUUGUGGCUCAGUUGGUAGAGCAUGGUGUUUGCAACGCCAGCAUGGUGUGUGCAACGCCAGGGUGGUGGGUUUGAUUCCCACAGGGGGC
rfam:Salmo salar isolate Sally breed double haploid chromosome ssa20, whole genome shotgun sequence.